rnacentral:rRNA from 2 species
UGCAUAUCCCAAAAGCGGAGGAAAAGAAACUAACAAGGAUUCCCCUAGUAACUGCGAGUGAAGCGGGAAAAGCUCAAAUUUAAAAUCUGGUAGUCCUUGCGGCUGCCCGAGUUGUAAUCUAGAGAAGCAUUAUCCGCGCUGGACCGUGUACAAGUCUCCUGGAACGGAGCGUCAUAGAGGGUGAGAAUCCCGUCUUUGACACGGACUACCAGGGCUUUGUGAUGUGCUCUCAAAGAGUCGAGUUGUUUGGGAAUGCAGCUCUAAAUGGGUGGUAAAUUCCAUCUAAAGCUAAAUAUUGGCGAGAGACCGAUAGCGAACAAGUACCGUGAGGGAAAGAUGAAAAGAACUUUGGAAAGAGAGUUAAACAGUACGUGAAAUUGUUGAAAGGGAAACGCUUGAAGUCAGUCGCGUUGGCCGGGGAUCAACCUUGCUUUUGCUUGGCGUACUUUCCGGUCGACGGGUCAGCAUCAAUUUUGACCGGUGGAUAAAGGUCAGGGGAAUGUGGCAUCUUCGGAUGUGUUAUAGCCCUUGGUCGCAUACAUCGGUUGGGAUUGAGGAACUCAGCACGCCGCAAGGCCGGGUUUUUAACCACGUACGUGCUUAGGAUGCUGGCAUAAUGGCUUUAAUCGACCCGUCUUGAAACACGGCAAAAGGGGAGUCA